AAGCGACUAAGCGUACACGGUGGAUGCCCUGGCAGUCAGAGGCGAUGAAGGACGUGCUAAUCUGCGAUAAGCGUCGGUGAGGUGAUAUGAACCGUUAUAACCGGCGAUUUCCGAAUGGGGAAACCCAGUGUGUUUCGACACACUAUCAUUAACUGAAUCCAUAGGUUAAUGAGGCGAACCGGGGGAACUGAAACAUCUAAGUACCCCGAGGAAAAG
rnacentral:rRNA from 1 species